rnacentral:rRNA from 1 species
UUUACUCCUACGGGAGGCAGCAGUAGGGAAUCUUCCGCAAUGGGCGAAAGCCUGACGGAGCAACGCCGCGUGAGUGAUGAAGGUUUUCGGAUCGUAAAACUCUGUUAUUAGGGAAGAACAAAUGCGUAAGUAACUGUGCGCAUCUUGACGGUACCUAAUCAGAAAGCCACGGCUAACUACGUGCCAGCAGCCGCGGUAAUAA